CAGACGGCAUAACACAAUCCCCCACCCGGUUAGGCAACCGCCACCACGCACGACACGCUCACAUCACAUCACAUAGCACCAAAGCACAGGCGGCCUAGUCGGCUUGCAGAAAGGAUGGCCGCCGCGGUCGCCUUGGCAAGCCCUCUCCGGCGACUCCUCCACCUCCCUUUCCCGCGCCGCGCUAUCCCCACACCACUCCGCUUCUUCGCGCGAGGGCGGUGUGACCUGGCCCUCGUCGUCUCGGCGGCCGCAGUCGGAGAUUCGUCUGCUAAGGGGAGCGUGCACAGGCAUGUAAUCGAGGAAGUCAUGGACAUUCUGGAUAUGGCACAAAGGGCUUCCCAACGGAGAGACGUCUUCCACACCAGUUUUCUUACGCCGCCUAUCAUAGCGGAGGCUAUGCUAGCAAUUGAAAAGUUAGCUGAUAUCAAAGCAGUAGCUCAGGGGGGCUAUCCACAGGCUGAGCGGUGCCGAAUUUCGGUUGGGCAUCCAGACUCUAUGAGAAGUGACCCAGAUGUAGUUGCUGCUUUGAGCAUCUCCGGGAAUUUCCGAUUGGAACCCUGUUCUCAUGGUGACUUUCUCGGUGCUAUUCUUGGGGCAGGAAUUACAAGGGAGAAAGUUGGAGAUAUACUUUUACAGGGGGAAAGAGGUGCUCAGGUCCUUGUUGAUCCAGAGCUUGUUGACUAUCUGACUUCCACACUAGAAAAGGUGGGGAAAGUUGGUGUUUCAUGCACCCAGAUUCCCUUGCUUGCUAUAGAGUAUGAGCCACCAAGGACCAAAUCUUUUAAAACUGUAGAAUCAUCACUUCGGGUUGAUGCUGUGGCCAGUGCAGGAUUCAAAAUAUCACGCACAAAGCUUGGUAGCAUGAUCAGUUUUGGAGAUGUUCGUGUGAAUUGGUCACUGGUUUCGAAAAGUGGAGCUACCCUAAAGGCUGGAGAUGUUGUUUCUGUCAGUGGGAUGGGGAGAUUAAAGUUCACGCUGAUGGAACAAUUUUUCUGGUGUUUGAGAGGCAUUCCACCAGUGCAGGUUUUUGAGAAUAUGUUGGACCUUGCAUUGUAUUGUGUAUGCAAUUGGGGAAAUCGUGACUACGAAGAAAGGCAAAUAUGUCGUUCAGUUGAUUCAAUAUUUGUAGGCCCGUGACUGAUCAAUUGUUCUCUGAAGAAUACCUGACUCGUGAGUUUGCAAACUGCUCAGUUGCUUACACAAGCAUAAGGGCUGCAGCUGCCUACCUUUGCCUACCUGCAAAUACUAUUUACGAUGAAACUGAUCCAUAGUGUUUAGAAUGGAAAAGGACAAGUGGACAGUACUUGUAAAGUAUAUGUGACAACUUAUCUUUAAAGUCCAGCUGAAAUUGAGAAUGAAAUUUAAAAGGAUCAAAGUCCCUCCGAACUCCAACUCCUGUGAGGACUUGUUCUGCUUUGGGGCAAAAAGGGAAAAGAAAAGUAUACAUUUUGGAAACCAAUGGAAAUGUGUUUCUUCUAUUCAUACUAAUAAAGAGCAAUUCGGAAACAACAUCUUCAGUAAUUUCUGUCAUCAGGAAACAUGUGACAUGACUACGAUAUGGUAGGAAACCUUUGCACUUGGGUAAAUUAAUAACUAUGGGUCGUAACUUCUACUCCCUUUUUUU